rnacentral:rRNA from 1 species
ACGGUGAAGCCAAGCUUGCUUGGUGGAUCAGUGGCGAACGGGUGAGUAACACGUGAGCAACCUGCCCUGAACUCUGGGAUAAGCGCUGGAAACGGCGUCUAAUACUGGAUAUGAGCUGCGGAGGCAUCUUCGUGGUUGGAAAGAUUUUUCGGUUUGGGAUGGGCUCGCGGCCUAUCAGCUUGUUGGUGAGGUAAUGGCUCACCAAGGCGUCGACGGGUAGCCGGCCUGAGAGGGUGACCGGCCACACUGGGACUGAGACACGGCCCAGACUCCUACGGGAGGCAGCAGUGGGGAAUAUUGCACAAUGGGCGGAAGCCUGAUGCAGCAACGCCGCGUGAGGGAUGACGGCCUUCGGGUUGUAAACCUCUUUUAGCAGGGAAGAAGCGUGAGUGACGGUACCUGCAGAAAAAGCGCCGGCUAACUACGUGCCAGCAGCCGCGGUAAUACGUAGGGCGCAAGCGUUAUCCGGAAUUAUUGGGCGUAAAGAGCUCGUAGGCGGUUUGUCGCGUCUGCUGUGAAAACCCGAGGCUCAACCUCGGGCCUGCAGUGGGUACGGGCAGACUAGAGUGCGGUAGGGGAGAUUGGAAUUCCUGGUGUAGCGGUGGAAUGCGCAGAUAUCAGGAGGAACACCGAUGGCGAAGGCAGAUCUCUGGGCCGUAACUGACGCUGA